AACGGAAUAAAAAUUGAUGAAAUGUUCGCUGAUUGCGGUUGUCCUCCACUGGUACAAAUUCACUCUAGUUGUGUUUUUAAGGUGAGAUGAUUUUUAUAUAAAAAUAGAAAUAUAAAAAUGCUCCUAUGUUGUAUAAAUACAGCAGUAUUAAACGUAUUUUUAUUUCAUAUCAUGUAGUUCUUCGACCCUAAUGAUCUACGGGAAGGAAGUAUAAACAAAGAAUAUAGCAAUGUUAUGUUGUGGGAGUUUGACAUUUCAACAUCACCAACAUCCCAAGCAAUCCCACUAUGUGACCCAGAUAGUCAAGAUGAUGAGCUGGAUAGUGUACUUCCACCAAUAGAAUUACAUCAGCUAACUGAUUGUAUAACUGUUUUAAUUUACCAAUAAACCCUGUUUGCCCUGACAGACAUUCAUACACACUGAAUGAUGGAAGAAGCGCCCAGUGGUAGCAUUGUUGUAAAGAAUGAAAUGAAGGAAAUUCAACACUAUCGCAACACUAUAUAUAAAUGUAUUGACUACUGUGUGAUGCAUUGCAAGGAUUUAUACUGAUCAAUGUGAUCAACCAGUUAUAUAUGCUCAAAUGAUCAACCAGUUGUCUAUUAUUUUACUCUGCCUAACGCCAGAUUAUUUUGCUGUCUAAUACUAGACUAUUUACUCAUCAGCGGGAGACUGCUGACACUCAAUGGGUUAAAAAACAUUGAAAGAAAAUGUUUAGCAGAAGCUGAAAAAUUGUUUAUUGGUGUCUGGUGUAAUACUGAUAAUUCUUUUAUUUGUAAGGAUAGAGCUGGGGAGCUUCUAAUGGUGCAGUCUUGGCCCUACCCCAGUUUUCCUAUACUGCAUGUGUUUUUGUCACUUCCCUGAUUCUACCAUAAGUAUUGUAUCCCAUGGACCGCAUCUUAUCAGUUCUGCAGUUUUUUGACAAUCUACUGUAUUAAACCUCCACCUAAAAGCACUGGGCUUAUAUUCUUUUGUAAGCGAUUUUUGAUGGGCUUACACAAGGGGGGCUUAUACAUGGGGGUUGGGGGGGGGGGCUUAUAUUCAGAGGUUUAUGGUAUGUAUGGUUUUCAUGAUUUUCAGUGUAUAGUCUUCCCUUGCUCAUCACAAAUUAAUAAAAAGAUCACACUACAUAAUUGAUGUUGAUAAAAUUUAUUUAUUUUAAAAUCGAAAAAAUAUUAACAUAAUAUUGCUGUACUUAAAGAUAAUUAAAAUGUUUUUAAAAAUAAAAUUUUAUGCACACAAUUUUAAAAUAUUGCACACAUUCAUUUCACCAGUACACAUGGAUACUAUAUGAUAAAGUAUAUGAAAGGUGAUGCUUUUGCUCUAGC